AACGAACGCUGGCGGCAGGCUUAACACAUGCAAGUCGAACGGGCGUAGCAAUACGUCAGUGGCAGACGGGUGAGUAACACGUGGGAACCUUCCUAGGGGUACGGAACAACUCAGGGAAACUUGAGCUAAUACCGUAUACGUCCGUGAGGAGAAAGAUUUAUCGCCCUUAGACGGGCCCGCGUCGGAUUAGCUAGUUGGUGGGGUAACGGCCUACCAAGGCGACGAUCCGUAGCUGAUCUUAGAGGAUGAUCAGCCACACUGGGACUGAGACACGGCCAGACUCCUACGGGAGGCAGCAGUGGGGAAUCUUGGACAAUGGGCGCGAGCCUGAUCCAGCCAUGCCGCGUGAGUGAAGAAGGCCUUAGGGUUGUAAAGCUCUUUUACCAGGGACGAUAAUGACGGUACCUGGAGAAUAAGCCCCGGCAAACUUCGUGCCAGCAGCCGCCGUAA
rnacentral:rRNA from 1 species